GUGGGGAAUAUUGGGCAAUGGGCGAAAGCCUGACCCAGCGACGCCGCGUGAGGGAAGAAGAUCUUCGGAUUGUAAACCUUAGUCAACAGGGAAGAAGAAAGUGACGGUACCUGUGGAGGAAGCCACGGCUAACUACGUGCCAGCAGCCGCGGUAAUACGUAGGUGGCGAGCGUUAUCCGGAAUUACUGGGUGUAAAGGGUGUGUAGGCGGGCAAGCAAGUCAGAUGUGAAAACUAUGGGCUUAACCCAUAGCCUGCAUUUGAAACUGUUUGUCUUGAGAGUGGGAGAGGUAAGUAGAAUUCCCGGUGUAGCGGUGAAAUGCGUAGAUAUCGGGAGGAAUACCGGUGGCGAAGGCGACUUACUGGACCAUUACUGACGCUGAGACACGAAAGCGUGGGGAGCAAACAGGAUUAGAUACCCUAGUAGUCC
rnacentral:rRNA from 1 species